GGGAGGCUCGCAGCCUGGCCAGCUUUCUGCUCCAAGGUCUAUCACAAAGACUUGACCAUUGCUCACUGUGAGGCUUUUCCCUAGGGUGGCAGAUGGUGGGACAUUCAUUGGAAAGCUCCUCUUGUGCAUCUUCCUGAAGGCUGCUUGGUGGUCAGCACACUCCUGCUUCACUGCAUAGCACUUCACAGAUUUCCCUGCACUACAGGGGUGAUGGCAGUCUUCUCAGCAUCCUGAUGCCCAGAAAUAAGACUCUUUUGUCACCUUCCAUGAAUCUGCACUAUCUCAGUGCA
rnacentral:lncRNA from 1 species